rnacentral:rRNA from 1 species
GAUGAACGCUGGCGGCGUGCCUAAUACAUGCAAGUCGAGCGAAGCGGGGACGGGUGAGUAACAUGUGGAUAACCUCCUAUAAGACUGGGUUAACUUAGGGAAACCGGAGCUAAACCGGAAACUUAUAGAUGGAUCUGCGCUGCAUUAGCUAGUUGGUAAGGUAACGGCUUACCAAGGCAACGAUGCAUAGCCGACCUGAGAGGGUGAUCGGCCACACUGGAACUGAGACACGGUCCAGACUCCUACGGGAGGCAGCAGUAGGGAAUCUUCCGCAAUGGGCGAAAGCCUGACGGAGCAACGCCGCGUGAGUGAUGAAGGUCUUCGGAUCGUAAAGCUCUGUUAGUAGGGAGGCGUUACCUAAUCAGAAAGCCACGGCUAACUACGUGCCAGCCGCCGCGGUAAUAC